CCAUAAAAACUGAUUCCUCUACCACAAAACCUUGGCAGAAUUCAAAACUUGACGAAGAAGGAUAACAAAAAAGCUACUACAACCAUGGUCAACACUAGAGCCUCUGGAUCCGCACCUCGUGACGGAAAAGUGUAUGAGAGAACAUCCGCGAAGACAAAGCUACAAAAGAUCCCAAAGGCUCCGAGAGAUGGAAGUCAACAUGGGUGAGAGAAGGCCAUUGGAAUUGUGGACUAUCGACUAGAUAUAAGGGUGCGCUUAAGUAUUUAAGAGCUAAAAAGUAUUGUGUUGAAGUUGGCCGAAAAUAAUCACAGCUCCCUUUCCAAUAAAACAUCGACAUCCAAACAUUAUGCAACGGACAACAAGAAAAUGAUGAUCGACGUUGAAAAGAUGAUAGCAAGCUACAGAGCUUCUGUAGUGGCCAUGUCAUAAAUUUUGGAUUUAAAGUAUGUUUUAUUGAUAUAAUUAUGUGUGUAUUUAACA